GACGAACGCUGGCGGCGUGCUUAACACAUGCAAGUCGAACGGAAAGGCCGGGUUUGGGGGGGCCCCGGGUGGUGAACGGGGGGGACCUGCCCGUGGGUUCGGAACAACUCCCCGGGAGAGGUGCUAAUAACGGAGAAUGUCAUCGGACCAAAGAUCUAUCGGCUUUGGGUGGGCCGGCGUGGGUUUAGGUAGUUGGUAGGGUACACGCCUACCAAGGCGGUGAGCCGUAGCUGGUCUGAGAGCAGGCUCAGCCGGACUGGGACUGAGACACGGCCCAGACUGGUAGGAGAGGCAGCGGAGGGGAAUAUAGGGGAAGGAGCGAAAGCCUGAUACAGCGAUGCCGGGUGAGUGGUGAAGGGGUUAGGAUUGUAAAUCUCUUUUGCCCGGGAUGUGAGUGACGGUACUGGGUAAAGAAGCACCGGCUAACUCCGUG
rnacentral:rRNA from 1 species